AGUGAACGCUGGCGGUAGGCCUAACACAUGCAAGUCGAACGGCAGCACAGUAAGAGCUUGCUCUUACGGGUGGCGAGUGGCGGACGGGUGAGGAAUACAUCGGAAUCUACUUUUUCGUGGGGGAUAACGUAGGGAAACUUACGCUAAUACCGCAUACGACCUACGGGUGAAAGCAGGGGAUCUUCGGACCUUGCGCGAUUGAAUGAGCCGAUGUCGGAUUAGCUAGUUGGCGGGGUAAAGGCCCACCAAGGCGACGAUCCGUAGCUGGUCUGAGAGGAUGAUCAGCCAACCUGGAACUGGGACACGGUCCAGACUCCUACGGGGAGCAGCAGUGGGGAAUAUUGGACAAUGGGCGCAAGCCUGAUCCAGCCAUAGCGCGUGGGUGAAGAAGGCCUUCGGGUUGUAAAGCCCUUUUGUUGGGAAAGAAAAGCAGCAGGUUAAUACCCCGCUGUUCUGACGGUACCCAAAGAAUAAGCACCGGCUAACUUCGUG
rnacentral:rRNA from 1 species